CGGACGGGUGAGUAACACGUGGGUAACCUGCCUCGUAGCGGGGAACAACUUGCCGAAAGGCAAGCUAAUACCGCAUAACACCUCCGGUGAGAAUCCGGGUGGUAAAAGCAGCAAUGCGCUAUGAGAGGGGCCCGCGGUCGAUUAGCUAGUUGGUGGGGUAAUGGCUCACCAAGGCGACGAUCGAUAGCUGGUCUGAGAGGACGAUCAGCCACACGGGGACUGAGAUACGGCCCCG
rnacentral:rRNA from 1 species